GUGUCACCUGCUCACCGCUCGCAGCUGGUAGCGCCUCUGCACUGUGGCAAACAGCAGGACUGAUACCAUGUGCAAGUAUGGCAUUAUUGCUCAUUGCUAAUUCUCAUUGGAAUGUGCUUGACACAGGCCCGACGGUCCUCAGAUAAACAGCAGUACUACUGACACCCAGACUGCUGCCGCACUUUCCUCCAAUACAGAUGGACAACCCAGACACUGGAGUUUACCGCCUGUCUGGGAUCAUCUCUCAUGUGGGAGACAGCAUGAACACCGGCCAUUACAUCAGUGACGUUGCCGAGGGCCAGGGUGAUAGGUGGCUCACUCUGGAUGACACAAAUGUGACGAUAACAGACGAGGCCACGGUGCGGGGGGAUUGUGCAUCUCUGGCCUACAU